UUGAACCGCAUGGUUCGAAAUUGAAAGGCGGCUUCGGCUGUCACUUAUGGAUGGACCCGCGUCGCAUUAGCUAGUUGGUGAGGUAACGGCUCACCAAGGCAACGAUGCGUAGCCGACCUGAGAGGGUGAUCGGCCACACUGGGACUGAAACACGGCCCAAACUCCUACGGGAGGCAGCAGUAGGGAAUCUUCCGCAAUGGACGAAAGUCUGACGGAGCAACGCCGCGUGAGUGAUGAAGGCUUUCGGGUCGUAAAACUCUGUUGUUAGGGAAGAACAAGUGCUAGUUGAAUAAGCUGGCACCUUGACGGUACCUAACCAGAAAGCCACGGCUAACUACGUGCCAGCAGCCGCGGUAAUACGUAGGUGGCAAGCGUUAUCCGGAAUUAUUGGGCGUAAAGCGCGCGCAGGUGGUUUCUUAAGUCUGAUGUGAAAGCCCACGGCUCAACCGUGGAGGGUCAUUGGAAACUGGGAGACUUGAGUGCAGAAGAGGAAAGUGGAAUUCCAUGUGUAGCGGUGAAAUGCGUAGAGAUAUGGAGGAA
rnacentral:rRNA from 1 species